GACGAACGCUGGCGGCGUGCUUAACACAUGCCAGUCGAACGGAAAGGCCCUGCUUUUGUGGGGUGCUCGAGUGGCGAACGGGUGAGUAACACGUGAGUAACCUGCCCUUGACUUUGGGAUAACUUCAGGAAACUGGGGCUAAUACCGGAUAGGAGCUCCUGCUGCAUGGUGGGGGUUGGAAAGUUUCGGCGGUUGGGGAUGGACUCACGGCUUAUCAGCUUGUUGGUGGGGUAGUGGCUUACCAAGGCUUUGACGGGUAGCCGGCCUGAGAGGGUGACCGGCCACAUUGGGACUGAGAUACGGCCCAGACUCCUACGGGAGGCAGCAGUGGGGAAUAUUGCACAAUGGGCGGAAGCCUGAUGCAGCAACGCCGCGUGCGGGAUGACGGCCUUCGGGUUGUAAACCGCUUUCGCCUGUGACGAAGCGUGAGUGACGGUAAUGGGUAAAGAAGCACCGGCUAACUACG
rnacentral:rRNA from 1 species